AAGGGAUUGGCAGAGAGGUGCAGCAGAUGAAGAGCGACUUGUAAGGAAGAUGAGUCUGGCAGAGGCAUUCAUUAUGGUUUGUAAAGGAGCUAGGCGGCAGCUGGGGAGACCAGAGAGGACAGAGUUGCAGUAAUCAAGAAAACUUCAGCUGCCUGCAGCCAUUCAGAUUUUGCUACACCCUGAUUACACUGAUAAAGGUCAAACAGCAGUACAUAGAAUUCCAGAUUGCAGAAUCCUAUUCUGACUUCAGGAGGAGCAGCCUUGGCAGGUGCACAGUUUGCUGGGACACUGUGGAGUUCCCAGAGUGUUUUCCUAGGCAUUAUCUCUG